UAUCCAAAUCAUAUUCCAUCAGAUGCAUUAGAAAAUGGUAUUAAAAAUGGACAAUAUUAUCAUGGCAUUUUAAAAGUAAAUAAAAAUAAUCCACAAGAAGAAGCAUUUAUUAUAUCAUCAAAAUUUGGUGGAGAUAUUUUUAUUUCUGGCAUGAGAUAUCGAAAUAGAGCAAUUCAUGGCGAUGAUGUCGUUGUUAAAUUAUUUGAAAAAGAUAAAUGGAUUUCCAGAACUCCUGAGCAUCAAUGUUACAUUGAUGAUAAAGUAGAUAGUGAUAAAAUAGAAAGAAUUCCAACAGGAGAAGUGGUAGGAAUCCUUCAAAGACAUUGGAGGGAUUAUGUAGCUUGUUUUCCAGAAAAUGGGGUAAGUAAAUAAUAAAAUUGAUAGCUUGAGUUAUAGUUGUCACUUUUAUCAGUGCAGAAGGGCAAGUCCAC